UAAGUCAAAGAAAAACAUUACCGGAGAUAGAUAAGUGUGUAAGUGUGGCUCGCAUCUGAAAUUUUACAUCUGAAUAGAGGAUGGACGUAAGGACAUAUAUUUUUAUACUCAUUCUCUGGGCCUUUUUCUUCGCACCUAUUCAAGCCAAACGCAUCUUUUGCAGAGGAAGGUUUGAAUUUGGAGAAUGUAUCGAUACUUCGCAUCCUUGCUCUCUUCACCGGUACAGAAACAUACAGUGUCCACCGAAAACCACAUGCUGCGCACAGUAGGAAAUAUAUGAGUCAUCUUCAAUUAUAUCAAUGAGCCAUUAAAAGUUUCAGAACGUA